AGACAGCACUUGCCAAGCAUUGAUCGUGGAUCCGGACGAUUCGAUGGGCCAUUUCGCCUCCUUUCCAAUGCCCUCGUGUUCCUGUGUGCCGGUGUGUUUUCUCUUUCAUGCUCUUUUUCUUCUUAACCUGCGGAGGAGAAGGGCAUCGAGCGACAUCAGUCUUCUCCGGGUGAAUCGUGACAAUUACAUUCUUUCUCUGACAAGAGGUCGAGGCUCAUGAAUAUUUCUACACCCACAGGAGGUGCAGCCUCGUCGUUAUGAGCAAACGCGCGCUUUAUAUUUUUUCGUCCGAUUUGGAAUAACGCGGAAAAGAGCAACUAGCACCAGCGUGGAUGGAAUUUCUUUGGAAGGGAUCUUUAAAUUUUUAAAGGGCGAUCGCAGAGUCUAUUGAGAACGAGUGCAAGACAGAGACGUCGAGCGAGAGAAAGAGAACCCCUCGUACUUGCAGUCUAACGUUUAUGUGUGGGACGACGAACAGCUGACGAGCGUCUGCACCUUGAGGAAAGACCCACAGCAGACAGGAUCUGCAAUUCAGAAAUCCAUCCAACCCCAAAGAAGAUUCCGUCAUUUUUGAGCAAUUCGUGUUCCAGAGAAGCAGUAAAAAUAUUGAGUCCAAUUUGUCGUUGGACGUGCAAAUGUCAAAAUUGGAAGUUCCUUCAUUUUAAAUUCUUUUUUUGAAAAUGAACGAGUCGAUAAUGAGGCUAAAUUUUGGAACGUAAUUGCCAGGCAAGGAAUAAAUAGUGAAAAAUCCUGGUCCAAAAAUCCUCGCAUCACGUCUUUAUCGCGACUGACCAGAAAAAUUGAUGGGAGUGAAGGAAUUGCAGAAAAAGAAGAGUGUCCGUGCGUGCACCUGCAUCGCGUACUGUUUAGAGUGCAAGUUUACACUGUUUUUUUUUGUGCCACCUGCCCCGCGAGUUAUAUAUUUUCGAGAACGAAAACAAUUUAUCGGGCGAGCUAAAAUUUUCAAAUUGUUUGAAGGAUACACACCCAAUUCUGACACGCAAGUGUGUUACGUUCAAAGCUUGAUGCAUUGUUUCGUAUAAAGGGCGAGAAAAAAUGUUGGUUUUUUCAACGGAAACUGAGAAUUUGUUUGAGCGGAGUUCAAAUAUUUGCAUACGAAGAGUGUGUGCCAGUCGCGUUUGCAUGUCUCUGUCUCUGUCUGUCUGUCUCUGAUUAUUUUUCAGAAAUUGAACAUCGAAUCGCAGCCAAAGUUCACCGAGUCUCCGCUAAUAAAGUAUUGAAAAGGAAUCGAAAGUUUCAGUAUUAGUGUAAGAAAUGGACGAAAGAGAAAAGGCCACCAGCGACGAGUGAUUUUCACAUAUGAGGCGUACCCUCGCAUGAGAUAUCGAGGUUUCACGGAACGAUGAGUCUUCAGCGGUGAAGUGAUCCUCCGGAGUUUUUCGAUUGGAGAAAAAGUCGAGGAAUGAUGGCGAACCAUAUGCCAAAGAUGUUCGUCGGUCUUCGUUGGGUGCAAGAAACCUCCCGUUAAGUUGGAGUGAGAAAAAAUGAAAACCGCCGAUGAUCCAUGACGGAGGGCUCAAGGGGGUCCCUCUAAUUACUGUGAGAAAGCGAGUGCUCGAAAGGUCGAGUUUCAAGCGAGUUCGCUUCACGAAUUCCCACAAUAAAUUCAUCGCUUCGUUUUCAAACGAAACACCAGAUAGACAAGAGAGUCCCAACUAUUUCUGGCACUCUGGAUUGUUGCACGAUUUUAAUUGUUUCCCGAAUUCCAUUCGCGGUUCGUAGGCAACAGAUGCUUGUUGCGGUAUUGUGCGCCAUACGACAUCCGCAUUGUUUGGUGCCCACAGGGAUCGUCGUAUCACGUCUUCGGCCCCAUCAUCCUGAGAUCGGUAUGCCGAUAAUAUUCUUCGCAAAGUUUCGCAGCAUGUGGCACAAACGUAAUGAGAAAUUUUGAGGAAUCGAGAGGCUGAAAUGAAGAUGGGAAAAGUGACGAUUCUCGAGUGCUCGCUCGCUCCUCCAGGAUUCGAAAUAAAUGUGGAGUCGAUUCUGUUUUUUGGCAGCAGUUGAACCUCCAGCAAAAAUUGGAGUCGAUUGGGAGCUGAAAGUUCACGAGAACAUCGUUCGAAAGUGCUUUCGGCUCUUCUGUUCGUAAAAUAAUUCAUUCCUGUCAUUGCGAAACGUAAUUUAUUCAAAAUGAACGAU